rnacentral:misc_RNA from 1 species
AAGAAAUUUAAUAAUUUUGAAAAUGGAUUUUUUUUUUGUUUUGGCAAGAGCAUGAGAGCUUUUACUGGGCAAGAAGACAAGAGAUGGAGAGUCCAGCCGGGCCUGCGCUUAAGUGCGCGGUCUUGCUAGGCUUGUAAGUUUCUUUCUUGCUAUUCCAAACGGUGAGAGAUUUCUGUGCUUUUGUUAUAGGACAAUUAAAACCGUUUCAAUACAACACACUGUGGAGUUUUCAUAUCUUUGCAACUUUUUCUUUGGGCAUUCGAGCAAUCGGGGUCCAGAGGUUAACAAACACAAACAAUUUUAUCUAUUCAUUAAAUUUUUGUCAAAAACAAGAAUUUUCGUAACUGGAAAUUUUAAAAUAUUAAAAACUUUCAACAACGGAUCUCUUGGUUCUCGCAUCGAUGAAGAACGCAGCGAAAUGCGAUACGUAAUGUGAAUUGCAGAAUUCCGUGAAUCAUCGAAUCUUUGAACGCACAUUGCGCCCCUUGGUAUUCCAGGGGGCAUGCCUGUUUGAGCGUCAUUUCCUUCUCAAACAUUCUGUUUGGUAGUGAGUGAUACUCUUUGGAGUUAACUUGAAAUUGCUGGCCUUUUCAUUGGAUGUUUUUUUUUUCCAAAGAGAGGUUUCUCUGCGUGCUUGAGGUAUAAUGCAAGUACGGUCGUUUUAGGUUUUACCAACUGCGGCUAAUCUUUUUUAUACUGAGCGUAUUGGAACGUUAUCGAUAAGAAGAGAGCGUCUAGGCGAACAAUGUUCUUAAAGU